rnacentral:lncRNA from 1 species
UGGGGAAAGACAACUGCUAGAUGUUUCCUCAGUCACUCACUCACCUAAAAAUUUCGUCCACAGCCUCCAUAAGAAAAAUAUUUGAUAAUAGGCAAAUAUGUUAUAAAACUCCUCCCUGGAAAAAACUUACAUUCUUUUUCUAUGCCUUUGAGAUGUAAAUUUCCUACCUGUCUUUUCUUGAAUUCAAUAGUUAUCUUUUAGAAAUACAAACUUCAGGGAGAUAACUGUUAUCAAAAGAAAAAAAGAGAGA